rfam:Hordeum vulgare subsp. vulgare, WGS project CAJW01000000 data, contig: morex_contig_7414
UAUGUAUUUCCUCCGUCCGAAAGUACUUUGCGUUGAAAUGAAUAAAAUGGAUAUAUCUAUAUCUAAAAUAAGUCUAGAUACAUCUAUUUCUAUGACAAGUAUUUUCGGACGGAGGGAAUACAUA